rnacentral:misc_RNA from 1 species
AAGUCGUAACAAGGUUUUCGUAGGUGAACCUGCGGAAGGAUCAUUAACACUUUUAUCCAAUAUAAAAAACUAAACGUGAACUUUUCCCCUCCCUAUAUUCAAAAAACUUGCUUUUUUGAUGUAGGCUAAACCAUUUUAAAUUUCAAACCACUUUAACUUUUUAUAAGUCUUUUUUUUGUUUAAGCUUAACGGCCUGCAAAAAAAUCAAAGACUGACUAACUAAAAAUUUUACUUAAGAUGUCAAUCAUGUUGAUCUCUUAAUUAAUAUUUUUUCUUUACGAAAUAAAUAUUAGUAUAUAAGAACAACUCUUAGCAAUGGAUAUCUUGGUUCUC